rnacentral:rRNA from 1 species
GACAGAGGUCCCAAGCGUUGUUCGGAUUCACUGGGCGUAAAGGGUGCGCAGGUGGUCGGGUAAGUCUGAUGUGAAAUCCCGCAGCUUAACUGCGGAAUGGCAUUGGAUACUAUUUGGCUAGAGGGUUGGAGGGGGGACUGGAAUUCUCGGUGUAGCAGUGAAAUGCGUAGAUAUCGAGAGGAACACCAGUGGCGAAGGCGAGUCCCUGGACAACUCCUGACGCUGAGGCACGAAAGCUAGGGGAGCAAACAGG